CUCUGAGAUGAGGCUUUGAGCUGAGGAGCCACAUGAUCUGACAUGGUUAAGGAUGCCUCUGGCUUCCCUGUUGAGAAUAGACUGAAGGGGCAAAAAUGGAAGCAGAACAGCAGUUAGGAGGCUCCUGUCAAACCCACGUGGAAGGCAGGCUCUGGGCUGUGUUACUGGACUAACACUAACACCGUCCCCUUGCACUUCUGAGGGGUCCCUGGAACUUCCCCAGGGGAUGAGACUCCUGGCUAGCAGGACUCAGCCCCUCCCCUUCAACUUUACUCAGGACCUGGUCUCCCCUCCUUAAGGUCUCUGGAGCCCAACGCACACUUCAGCCCACUCUCACAGGCAUUCUCUCUGUCCACAAAAUAUCAACGAAGAGUCUUCUGUGAGUGCAGCAUGGUGUGAACACUGGGAGUACAAGGAGAAAUAAGACACAGUUGCUGUGCUGGAGAAGCUUGUGCCCAGUGGUGGUGAUACUGCCGGAGAGUGAGGUCCCUCUUGGCAGCCUUUGUAUCUAGAGAGAGCCGUCCAAUAGAAACAUAAGGACAUCUGAGUUUGGAUGUUACCUUUUUAUUGGAAAUAUGGGAUCUGCACUUAGAUUUCACUGAAUUUACAUUGAAAAGGUAGGUUCACAUACCCAAGUUGUCUCACACAUACCUAAAUGUUUUCUGGUAACUGGAUGGAGUAUCAGUUUUUAUAUUUAUCUUUGCCUUAGCUAAAAAACAAAUUAAUAGUGCAGGUCCUCAGCCGCACGCAGGCAGUUUUCUCCACGGUCCAAAUGGUUGCCCGAAUUCACCCAGACCCCGCUGUCGUCCGCUUUUUCAUGCAGACAUUCAAACAACUGCCUCCCUUCCUCCUGGCACCCCCACCCCAUCGCCAGCAGCCUCCAAACCAGUUUCCCUCCUGUCCUCAUCUCAGCCACCCAUGACUCACACACACAUCUGGCUCCCCUGGCCCACUUUUCACCUGGUCCUCAUAAUCUAUGCAUAAACAUUAACAUACCACAGAGUCAAUCUGCAUACUGAUUACUUCUGCUCUGGUCAAAUUCUUGCUUUCAGGAUCAGGAGGCUUUCUCCCCACACCAAACUGGGCCUGAGGAAAUAGUGUCUUGUCUUCCUGUCACCCCUCCCGUAGUUGCAUGUCUAAUGAGACAAGGGGUGUCUCAGGUGAAGCAGGACAGGGAGGAUGCCAGCACUUGGGUGGGAGAGGCUUGAGGAGUGCCUGUUGGGGGAUGUGUUGGGGAAGGAUGACUUUUCACAUAUGGCUCAUUGUGUCGGGAUGAUUUCGUUGUUAAAUAAGCACCUACAGGAUGAUUUCACAUUCCAUACUUCUAAGUUUUUAUAAUUUAAAUUCUUUCCGCCAGGCUGGGUUUUUUUUUUUUUUCCAAACUUUGAAUCUGUGGCUAGAAUUGGUUUGAUUUACAUAAUCCUGCCCCUGAGAUUUAGCCCCACCCCUGAGAGCCCCCUCAGAGCCACCCACAGCCAGGACACCUCUGCUGGCCUCCCCUUCCCCAGCCUUCCAACUUGUGGCAGGCCCCUGGCUCUGGCCUCCCCCUAUAUGGGAAUGAGCCAGCUGCACCGCUGCUGACAGUGGCUGGGAUAAUCCUCCCUGAGCUGUUCCAAGGAUUAGUCCUGCUGCCCUGUGCCCAGCUCCCACACAACGGGGUUUCGGGGCUGUGGACCCUGUGCCAGGAAAGGAAGGGCGCAGCUCCUGCAAUGCGGAGCAGCCAGGGCAGUGGGCACCAGGCUUUAGCCUCCCUUUCUCACCCUACAGAGGGCAGGCCCUUCAGCUCCAUUCUCCUCCAAGGCUGCAGAGGGGGCAGGAAUUGGGGGUGACAGGAGAGCUGUAAGGUCUCCAGUGGGUCAUUCUGGGCCCAGAGAUGGGUGCUGAAGCUCCCACGCCUGCCUGUGAAAAUGGAGUCCUCUCUCACCUGGGAGAGCCAGGUGCUGCCCCGAGAAGGAUGCAUUUAUGGCUUCAUGAAGUCUUUCCUGACCCCCGAUGCUGCUGACUAUAGAGACAAAGACUCACUAUGUUGCUCAGGCUGGUCUUGAACUCCUGGCCUCAAGCGAUCCUCCCACCUCAGCCUCCCAAAGUGUUGGGAUUAUAGACAUGAGCCACUGCACCUGGCCGACCUUGGGCAAGUUCUUAAACCCUUCAAAGCCUCAUUUUUCUCCAAUCACAAAAGGGAAAGAUGGUAAUAUUUUCCCCACCAAAUUCUUGUCGGAUGCCCUCACAGAAUUGAGAUUAUGUACGUAAAACACAAGGUGCCUAACCCGGCACAGAGCAGGAGGGCUAAGCGUGACAUCCAGCACGUGGUCAGUGGAAUCCAGUAUUCCUA
rnacentral:lncRNA from 1 species